UUUUAGCUCUCCAUCAUCUCUCCUCACUCGGAGCCGUCGACGUCCUCCGCCCUGUCGUCUUUCACCCCAAACCUAAUCUCUGGGUGCCGCCGCUGGCGAUAAUCUCAAGAGGUCAACUUGUCGAGAUGUUUGUACAAGGUUGAGGUAGUGGAGAGCUAUUCAAAAUUCUGGGCAAACCUUAUUAUGUAAAAGUGUUAAAAGAUCUCUCUCGUUUAGAAUUUCGAAAUGUUAAGUUUAAUUUACGAUGAUAUGAACUUGAGAUAAA